GGUAAAGUCAAAAAUAGAAGACCCAUGAAUCGGGGUGAGGUCAGACUCCUUUACAGGUUCAGGUUGAUUGGUUUGCAAUAAAACCUCUGAGAUCUGCCAGUUUUUAAUGAGCUUUUCUCUGAAGAGGUGAACUUGUAUUUUCACUGGGGGUUACUCUUGAGGGUAUGUUUCACAUGCCUGUCCUAAACAUUCCCUCUAGACCUUGCUGCUUUCCCACAUUAAAAAUCAUCAGAUGAUGAAGCCAUAAUAAAUAAUUCUAGCAAAGGAUCUACCCUCUACUUGUGAAAAUGGAUCUUGACUCCAAGGCCAGUGAAUUUCUUUUUUGGAGAAGGUGAUUUAAAUCCACCCUUUCUGCAAAGCUACCGCUUCUGACAGAUGCCCUCAUUGGAGUACCACUCUUCCCAUUUUCCUGCACUAGUAUGCUUAUGCCAAGUUAUAUAGCAUUUCUCCUGUGGCAACGAUGAUUUAAGCAUUCUCUAUCUAAUCAGUCCCAUAACUGUGUCAGCACAAUUGUUGUCUCAGUCCUUGACCAACUUACAAUCUACAGAAGAGGAAAUCACCUCUUUGGGCAGAUGUAUUCCCUCAGCUACUGUGCCAUGUAACAGAGCAGUGGAGCUAGUGGGCAGAAAUAAGGAUACGGUAGCACUGGUGACUGCAGGCUUCUUAAAUAGGGCUAUGCAGUAUUGCAACCAGCCGUGUAGCCUUAGCCUGAAUAAACAUGGAGGCCUAUGGAAAAGGUGCUAUGCAACCUGCAUAAAAUAACAUUCUGAAAAAUUUUUCAGUUAUGUGCUGUCCAGAAAUAUGGUGGAUAUUUUAAACACAAAUGAAAUUUACUGCUUCCAGUGAAAUGCAUUAACAACAUUACACAAUAGUUUUUAGAAGCUGGAAGAGUGACAUAACCAACUGAGACUGCAGAGAGGAUUUCAACACAUACAGUGUAAUCACCCAGGCUGGAGUUUGGCCAGGACACCAGGAUUAACACUGUGAGGCAUGCUGCAAGGGUUUGGGGAAUGAAUCUUCUUUAAACUUAUAUUUCAUCUGGAAAAUAGCAAACUUCUGCAGCUCUGUCAUUCAGACAUGUGGGAAGGACAGAGGGCUACCUCAUGAAUCGUCUCUGCUUUCUGCAACAGCAAGACUUCUUGGCAGUUGCACCAAAAUACUGAGCCUAAACCUACUUAAUGAAUGAAACGAGGGGGACAUAGGACAAGGCAGCAUAAAGUACAUUUAAAAUUCUCCAUAUCACUUCUAAUUUACACAUUCUUUUUUAGAGAGAGGAUGAAUAGGACAAUUACAGUGAAUGCUCUUGAG